rnacentral:rRNA from 1 species
CCCUUAGAUGCCCUGGGCUGCACGCGCGCUACACUGACACAUUCAACGAGUAUUUCCUUUUCCGAGGGGAUUGGGUAAUCUUCUGAAAGUGUGUCGUGAUGGGGAUAGAUUAUUGCAAUUAUUAAUCUUCAACGAGGAAUUCCUAGUAAGUGCAAGUCAUCAGCUUGCGCUGAUUACGUCCCUGCCCUUUGUACACACCGCCCGUCGCUCCUACCGAUUGAAUGCUCAGGUGAGCCAUUCGGACUUUCAUCAUGCUGGUUUCCAGUUUUGAUGAAGGAAAGUCUUGCGAACCUUAUCAUUUAGAGGAAGGAGAAGUCGUAACA